GCCGAACGCUGGCGGCGUGCCUAAUACAUGCAAGUCGAACGCAGUGGGGACGGGUGAGUAACACGUGGGUAACCUCCCAUCAGAGGGGAUAACACUUGGAAACAGGUGCUAAACCGAUACUGAUGGAUGGACCCGCGGUCCAUUAGAUAGUUGGUGAGGUAACGGCGCACCAAGGCCUCGAUGCAUAGCCGCCCGGAGUGGGUGCUCGGCCACACUGGGACGGAGACACGGCCCAGACUCCUACAGUAGGCAGCAGUAGGGAAGCGUCGGCAAUGGACGAAAGUCUGACCGAGCAACGCCGCGAGAGUGAAGAAGGUAUUCGGAUCGUAAAACUCUGUUGUUAGAGAAGCGGUAUCUAACCAGAAAGCCACGGCUAACUACGUGCCAGCAGCCGCGGUAAUAC
rnacentral:rRNA from 1 species